rnacentral:tRNA from 1 species
GGGGCGUCAGGAUGGUAAUUGUGAGCGGUUGAAUCACAUAAGCUAUUGAUUCGCAUGCAAAUACGACGGCCUGCAAAGCCGUUUAGGCCGAUUCGACUCCGGUUCGCGCCUCCA